GAGGCCGGAACUAAAGGGUGCCAGCUGCUGUACAACCCGGCUCUUUUAAGACGUUGCUCCACAGUUUUAAUGUGUGGAUUAUAGCGAUGCGGGCUUGAGCAGCCGUUGCUUCCGGUGUGGGCGAGGCCUGGUGAACUGUGUGGAAAGGCGGAGGGGAAAGGUUCCCGUCAUGGCGGCUGUCAACGGUCUCGUCGCAGCAGCGCGACAUUUAUGCCGGGGUGCCUAUUGGGCAGGGACACGACUGCUCUGGGAGGCUCCGAAAAUGAGAUGCGGCUGGCAGCGCCGAGCUUUCUCGAGACAAGGAGGCAGUGGCGGCAGAAGCGAGGUGCUUGGAAAAUCUGGAAUUUUCAGAAGAGGACUUGCAUUCUCAGCACUGUCUGUCUUGGGUUAUGAAGCAUACACAUUAAUCUCUCAAUCUGCUGUGGUUCAUGCUAACGUCCAAGUGGAUGAAGUCCUGGAUCAAGCAGAUUACCUGUAUGGGAGUGGGGAAACUGAAAAACUCUAUCAGUUGUUGAACCAACACAAAAACAGUGAGAAUGCUGAGUUAUUGUGGCGCCUGGCUCGAGCAUUACGUGACGUAGCUCAGCUUAGUCAUACUUCUGCGGAGAAAAAGAAGGAGUUGACAUACGAAGCCCUUGAUUAUGCAAAGAAGGCGCUUGAAAAAGACCCAUCAAUUUUUGCAGUGCACAAGUGGUAUGCAAUCUGCAUCAGUGAUGUGGGAGAUUACGAAGGAAUAAAGACAAAAAUUGCAAAUGCCUAUGUUAUCAAAGAACACUUCCAGAAAGCAAUUGAACUGAAUCCAAAGGAUGCUACAUCACUUCACCUUAUGGGCAUUUGGUGUUUCACAUUUGCUGAAAUGCCAUGGUAUCAGAGCAAAAUAGCUGCAGUUUUAUUCUCAACGCCCCCAAGCUCGACCUAUGAAGAGGCUUUACGUUACUUCCAGAAAGCUGAAGAUGUUGAGCCAAACUUCUAUAGUAAAAACUUGCUCUUUUUGGGAAAAGCAUACAUGAAGUUAAACAACAGAAAGUUGGCCCUUUUAUGGCUAACAAAGGCCAAAGAACGGUUGGCGCAUACAGAGGAUGAUAAACAGGCUGGCAGAUAGAGGGCAGAAGAUGAGUGCCCCCCCCCCGCCCGUCCAGCUGUGAUUGCUUAAAAGAACAAGAAGUUCUGGUACAAAAAGAAGCUGUGGAAUUACUAAACUCUCUGUGACAAAGUGACUAAGUAUGGACUGCUAUGGUCUAUUCCAUACAGAUCAAAGAGCCUGUGGUGCUUCCCUGUCCCUGGCACAUUAACAUGUGGAAGCUCAGGUUUUCUGAGAAGUAGCACUUUCCCAACUUUUUUUGAUCAGGCAAAUUCUAAAUGGCUUGGGACCUGGAAACCUUAAAUACUGCCUUCUUCCAAAUGUGCCCGCCUGUGCACUCGUAAGUCCUGCUGUGGAUCACCCACCAACAGAGAUCUGGCAGCUGGGUACAAGGAGCAGGACCUUUUUGGCUCUGGCGCUAGUGCUCUGGAAUGACAUACAGGGAAGCCUCUCUGGCCUCAUCACGACUUGCUUUCUGGCAGCAGUAAAGGCUCCUUUAAAAGGGCCUUUGAAGAAGAAUUGAUUCUAUUAUUUUGCUUCAGUAUUGUGUUAUAUCUCGUCAUUAAUCUAUUGUUCCUCUCUUCCUUUAGCUAUUUGGGGUUUCCGAAGAAGUUGAAGUGUGCUAGAAAUUUUUUAAAAAAUAAAUAAGAUGGCAGGUGUGAUUUCUAAAACAGGGGCAAUACAUUGCUCUUCCCUAGGAAGCAUGUCUGCCUGUGAAUGCUUAAUUGCCUGUCCAUAUGACUUUCUGAACAUGUGGAGAGAAAUACAUAACGAAUACUAUGAAGUAUGACUACUUCCAUAGUGGGAUGACAUAGAAGUUUUAGAGGAAGACAAGACACUUAAAACAAUCUACAGCAAAGCCUUUGAAAGUUGUAGAAUGCAGGGAUCCUUCACACUGAUGCCAAAAUUUUACAAACUCUUCCUGUUUCCUCCCUCUCCCCCACCCUGCCGCUGCCACCAUGAGUUUAUUAACCUAAAGAAGCAUGGGCCGUCUGAGUCCUCUCACCCAGUGCGCCCAGGUAAUCCUGGGAAAUGAGAUGCUGCAGCAACAGGACUCUCCAGAUGCAGCACUAACUCUUCAAAGUUUCUCUCUUCUGCCCAGGAUUUCUCACUCUGUGUGUACACUUCCUUUUGGAGUUGCAAAUGGAUUAUAUCCAAAUGGAAACGCAAAACAAAUGAGAGUGAGUCUCACUAGCCAGCAUUUACACUCUAGGCUCUUAUUCCUUUUCCUCAAAACCAGAAGAUUCACAAUCUUCUUUGGAAGACUUCUAAGUGGGGAACUUUACAUCUCAUUCUACAUGUUCAAGAACAAUUCCAAAGGUAUUGUUAGGUACUGGUACCAGGCUGCCUUAUUUUGCUAUUUUUCUGCAUUUGCCUGGAUGGUCUCCAUUGCUGGAGAGCAAUUAACCUUCUGGUUUCAAGCAGGGAAAACUAUGGCUUCCUCAAUGAUCAUGGGGAAAGCACCUUAAUUAACUGAAUCUCCCUAAGAAUUUGUGUUUAUAUGAUGAUCUGUGCCUGAAGUACAACAGCCUCCUCUUGCAAAGGGUAUGUUUUCUGAACCCUUCAUAGAUAUAAAACAGCAGCAAAUCUAUGUAAUCAGUCCUCCCAAGCCCAUCACUAGGGAUGGUUCGUGCAUUGGUUUGGUGCCAAACCAGUUCGGAGGAGAUCCAAACCACUUCAGCGCCACAGGGAAGGGAGUGGGAGCUUUAAAAAAGAGAGUAGGUCCGCCACUGCAUGUAGCUUCCUGAUGCGGCACCACCAAGGACCUGCGUGUUGUGCCAGGACGCACAUGCAUGGGCGCCAUUUGCAUGGUCAGCAUGGUGUUGCUGACCAUGCAAAUGGCACCCGCGGAUGCCAUGAGCAUCCCGGUGCCGAACACGGGUUCUGGGGAAGAGCACUGCCACAGUAAGAAGUUGCAUGUGGCAGCAGAGAGCAGGUAAGUACCUGCUCGCCUCCUUUUUUUAAAUUUUAAAGCUCUUGUUCCCCUCCCUGUGAUGCCGAACCAAUGCACAAACCUCGGUUUGUGCACAUCCAUACCCAUCUCUUCUUGUAGUUUUUCUUUAUCCAUUGACAGUGUCAUCAUCCACCCUAUGUGCUGAACUGGCACAAAGUAUUGGUUUUAUCUUAGAUUCAUCUCUGUCCUUUCCCCAUUUCCAGCCUGUAGUUGAUUCAUGUCACAUCCCCCUGUGCAAUAUUGCAAAAAUGCAGCUUUUCCUCUCUGCCCCCCCAGCAAAAGCUCUCAUUCACAUCCUGGUUAUCUCCCACUCUGGCUACUGUAUCUGCAUUCUAUUGUCUUCCUUUGUCUCACCUCAGCCUCUCCACCAGCAUUCAUCAGCAUUUUAUUGCCAAAAUCAUUCGUGUCUCUCAUCACUCUGAUUACAUUAAACUCUUUGACUUCCUUAUGAUUCUUGUCUUUACCAUGAAAGACCUUUGUGACCUUGCUCCUCAUCUCUAUCUCCUCAUUUCCCAUUACACCUUUGCUCCUUCAGCUUUGCUACUCUCAGCCAUCUGAAUGUCCCAUUCCCUCAAACACCUGCCCUUUCACCCUAUAACUCAGUCUCCCAGAUCCAGAAAGUAUGAUGCUUUUAUUACUUCCUUCAAAUCUCUCUGCAGAACCCACUACACCCCCCGCCCCUGUAGCCUUUGGCAUAAUCUCCUAAUUCUUAUAUCAUACUGCCAGCAAGCCAAAUAUGUGUGUGUAUAAAAUAUAAUUUUCUGACUAAAAUAUAUUAUUUUUACUUUAAUAGCCUCAAUCCAUGAUGCAUAUAAUACAUGGAGAUAUACUUUUUUAGAGCAAAGAAACAGCUGCUUUAUAGAGCUGCUUCUUUCUUUGCCCCUCAGCCACACGUUCCUGCCCUCUCCUCGCACCAGUGGGCUCAAAUCAGCUCUGAAUGAUUGGACAAUCAUUCCUCUCAGUGAUCUGCGCCUGUCUGGUUUCCCUCCAUUUUCUUUUUAAAACCUAGCUCUGCAUACAAUACAUGUAACUAGAAAUUAUGGUGAUUGCAUAUUCAUUCCAUUUACUUGGCCUCCACUCCCCGUUCUCUGUCAUCUUGCCUGUGUUGGUUUCUAGAUUGUGAGCCCUCUAGGGCAGGGACCAGUUCUUUCCAUCAGUUGGAGGCACUGUUUACAAGGCUGGCACAUCAUAUAUAAUGUUUUGCCUACUAAAGACAACAUGGUGCACCUUA